rnacentral:misc_RNA from 1 species
GAUGAAGAACGUAGCGAAAUGCGAUAAGUAAUGUGAAUUGCAGAAUUCAGUGAAUCAUCGAAUCUUUGAACGCACCUUGCACCCUUUGGCAUUCCGAAGGGUAUGCUCGUUUGAGUGUCAUUGUACUCUCACACUCUCCGAUCCUAUGGAUUCGGGGAGCGGUGGACUUGGGUGUUGCUGCCUUUCCCUGUGGCUCACCUCAAAUGCGUCAGUGCACCUCUUGGUUGGACAUAGUACGGCGUGAUAAGUGUCUUCGCCGGCACCUCGCAAGAUGGUGGCCGAUCGGGAGCUCUGCGCUUUCAAACCGUCUUCGGACAAUUUCUGACAUCUUGACCUCAAAUCGAGUAGGACUACCCGCUGAACUUAAGCAUAUCAAUAAGCGGAGGA